rnacentral:rRNA from 1 species
UACGUAGGGGGCUAGCGUUGUCCGGAAUCAUUGGGCGUAAAGAGCGUGUAGGCGGCCCGGUAAGUCCGCUGUGAAAGUCGGGGGCUCAACCCUCGGAUGCCGGUGGAUACUGUCGGGCUCGAGUACGGAAGAGGCGAGUGGAAUUCCUGGUGUAGCGGUGAAAUGCGCAGAUAUCAGGAGGAACACCAAUUGCGAAGGCAGCUCGCUGGGACGUUACUGACGCUGAGACGCGAAAGCGUGGGGAGCAAACAGG